CACGUCUUUUUAUAUUUUUCCCCCCUGUUCAGGUUUGAAUGAAGGAUGGGAGAUUUUCUUUGGACAAGCUACAUGAGUUGAUUAUGAAUGAUUUUGUUCAAGAGCUGUGCAAUAAUCAGGACUAAAAAUCCACCCCUCCCCCUAAUUGGAAACAUUUGGCCUCUAACAAAACCACUGACUUGGGCCUCUUUCUGUCAUUGUCAUCUAUGCUGGUGUACCCAGGCACUACACAGACCCACACAUUAACACUCCGCAAUAAUGCUUUGCAAACACCCACCCUUAGAGAUGUUAUACCAUGCAUACACUGACAAGGACUGCUGUACAAACAGAUACACUCCACAUCUGAAAUUUUGGCCUCUUAAAAAGUGUCCAAACCACUAUUUUGUAAUUUUUUUUUUAUUUUUUUGUCAUUGGUACAGAUGCACCAUCUGGUAGUUGAAUAAUAUAAACAGUUAUCUACUAAUAAAAGCAAUAAAGUUUGUGUAUUUUGUUGUGGGCUUGUGCCUUUUUUUUUUUAAAUGAAACAAACUGAAGAAAUGUUCCAGAUUCAGUUUAAUCUUUCAUUGGUCCUAAAAGGUUGAGGAAUAAUAGCUAUGGGAAAAAUUAACUGAACAGUGGUUCAUUAAAUUAUUCAUAUUUGAUCUAUAAAUUUUGUUUCAACUUGGCUGCUGGAAUAAAUUUGGCUUGUGCAGUGCUAAUAAAUCAUCUGUUCAUUAGUA